GAUCAGCACGCCGCGGUGAAUACGUUCCCGGGCCUUGUACACACCGCCCGUCACACCAUGAGAGUCUGUAACACCCAAAGCCGGUGGGAUAACCUUUAUAGGAGUCAGCCGUCUAAGGUAGGACAGAUGAUUAGGGUGAAGUCGUAACAAGGUAUC
rnacentral:rRNA from 1 species